CCUACGGGAGGCAGCAGUGAGGAAUAUUGGUCAAUGGCCGUAAGGCUGAACCAGCGACGCCGCGUGAAGGAAGAAGGAUUUCUGGUUUGUAAACUUCUUUUAUAGGGGAAUAAAGGUAUCCACGUGUGGAUUUUUGCAUGUACCCUAUGAAUACGCAUCGGCUAACUCCGUGCUAGCCGCCGCGGUAAUACGGAGGAUGCGAGCGUUAUCCGGAUUUAUUGGGUUUAAAGGGUGCGUAGGUUGUUUUGUAAGUCAACGGGGAAAGUUUGUGGCUCAACCAUAAAAUUGCUGUGGAUACUGGAAGACUUGAGUGUGUUUGAGGUAGGCGGAAUGCGUGGUGUAGCGGUGAAAUGCAUAGAUAUCACGCAGAACUCCGAUGGCGAAGGCAGCUUACUAAGCCAUAACUGACGCUGAGGCACGAAAGCGUGGGGAUCAAACAGGAUUAGAUACCCCUGUAGUC
rnacentral:rRNA from 1 species